GCCUGCGUGGCUCAGUCAGUUGAGCGUCUGACUUCAGCUCAGGUCAUGAUCUUGCAUUUGUGGGUUCGAGUCCCGCAUUGGGCU
rnacentral:tRNA from 1 species